GAUGAAGAACGUAGCGAAAUGCGAUAAGCAAUGUGAAUUGCAGAAUUCAGUGAAUCAUCGAAUCUUUGAACGCACAUUGCGCCCAUUAGUAUUCUAGUGGGCAUGCCUGUUCGAGCGUCAUUUCAACCCUCAAGCCUUAGUUGCUUGGUGUUGGGAGCUUAUCUUGCCGAAAGGCGGGACAACUCCUUAAAUUUAUCGGCGGAGUCGCGGUGACCCCAAGCGUAGUAAAUUAUUUUUUCCUCGCUUUAGGUGUUAACGCUGGCUUUUCUAGCCGUUAAACCCCCCCUAAUAUUUUAAUGGUUGACCUCGGAUCAGGUAGGACUACCCGCUGAACUUAAGCAUAUCAAUAAGCGGAGGA
rnacentral:misc_RNA from 1 species